rnacentral:lncRNA from 1 species
AUGGCCAACAUGCUGGUAACAUACAAGCCAGCUAAAGAUCGCAGCCGAUCAACAGGCGAGGCAAGAGUCAGCUGGGAGUACUUUAAUGAAACGGAGGACCUGUUUGGUUCCUCUGGGGUGGGCAGAGUCCCAGAGGGCACGGUGGUCUCCACUGCACUUCAUCCAAGUUCCCAGCCAGAGGCCAUCCAGCCAACAAGGCACACACCUGUAAAGACGCCAGCCCCAGCUCCUCCGCCUUCAGCUGUUUCAGCCUCCUCCACCAGACCAAGGCCAGCGACUCCAGAAACACUGAAAGAUAUUGCUGACAUGCAAAAAAGUAUGCUACAUGCCUUAAAUAACUUGUCUAAAGAAUAAAGCCUUACAAUGAGUGGCCAUUUGUUUUGCAAUAUUAUGCAUGAACACAGGGUUCCUACUG